CUCUUCCCAUUCCACUUAUUUUAAAUAAAAAUGUCAGAAAACUCAAUUGUUCAGAAAUGAUCCCCUGGUAUGAAGGUUCUGACCAGGAGUUCCUCUCUCCUCCUGCCAGUCUUUCUGGUCAUGUCUUUGCAAUGCAGGGAGCUGGAAUGAUGUAUCUGUCAGCGUCAC